rnacentral:misc_RNA from 1 species
AUUUGAGUCCACUGAGUAUACUACUCUCUCUGUUGUCAGUGAGCCGAGUAUACUUCUCUCUCUACUGUCAUUGAAGUAUUGGAGUCAAAGUCGAGAUUCCAAUUGGAGCUAGUGGCAAAGUGGCCUUACGGAUUGGGAUUGUGAGCAUCAUCUAUGGAGGAUCUAUGGCAAGAUUAGAGAUUGAAUAUGAGGUUAGAAUAAAUGAGCAACGAGAGUGAAAAACUAAAAAGAAGAGAGAGAAAGUUAGGGUUUUGAA